ensembl:snRNA U6 U6 spliceosomal RNA
GUGCUCACUUCAACAGCACAUACACUAACAUUGGAAUGAUACAGAGAAGAUUAGCAUGGCCCUUGUGCAAGAAUCACAUACAAGUUUGUAAAGUGUUCCAUAUUUUU